CGAGAGGCUUCGUCAAUGGGGGCAACCCUGAACGAGCGACGCCGCGUGAGCGAUGAAGGUCGUAAGAUCGUAAAGCUCUGUUAGUGGGGAAGAAACCCCGGGGUGCUAAUACCACCACGGCUUGACGUUACCCACAAAGAAAGCUCCGGCUAACUCCGUGCCAGCAGCCGCGGUAACACGGGGGGAGCAAACGUUGUUCGGAAUCACUGGGCGUAAAGGGCGCGUAGGCGGCCUGGUCAGUGAAACGUGAAAGCCCCUGGCUCAACCAGGGAAUGUCGUUUCAUACUGCCAGGCUUGAGGACGGGAGAGGAGAGGGGAAUUCCCGGUGUAGCGGUGAAAUGCACUGAUAUCGGGAGGAACACCAGUGGCGAAGGCGCCUCUCUGGCCCGUUCCUGACGCUCAGGCGCGAAAGCAGGGGGAGCAAACAGGAUUAGAUACCCGUGUAGUC
rnacentral:rRNA from 1 species